rnacentral:lncRNA from 1 species
GAAUUUAAAAAUAAAAUAAAAUUAGUUAAGGAGUUACUUGUCAAAUUCAGGGUGCAUGCCAUUAUCCCAUCCUUUUGGAUGAACAACAUUGGUCAUAGUUGAGUAAGCAUAGAUAAUUUUAGGAUAAGUCAUCCAUGCUCUAGCUAAGAAAGUAGUAGUUCCAGUUCCAGUAAUAUCACAAUGCACAAAUGAGUAUAAAUCAGCAUCUGAUGCACUUUUUCUUGCUUGUGCUACUAUCACUGUUGGCCCAGCGUCACCAAGCGCUCUCAAUUCGUUUUUCUGCAUCAUCCGAUCGAGCAACAUCUUAUAUACUUAUGUUUGUUUUAUAUAUCUUAGUUAAAAAAUAUGAUCAAAGAGUAUGUGAUGUGAAUAGUACUGCACAUGGUCGAGACUAUAUUUACUUACCAAAUAUAGUGAUGUUCCACUUCCAAAAAUGAAAUCGACCGUGCCUUGAAUUAAGCAAUCUUUGAAAAAAUGAUUAUGCCGAUCAUCACAAAUUGUAUCUUGGAACCCUAAAAUCUUGCAAUUAUAAAAUGCUGCUCUGUCACCAGAAAUUCUUAAUGCAACUGCUUGUUCUCCUGCCUUUCUUCCAUCAGGUCUUGGUGCAGAAUUCUGUACCAAAUUCAUUACCAAAAAACAAUCAUAAGGAAAACUCCAUAAACAAAUAAUAAAUAAAUCGAUGACAUUUUUUUAUUGAUUUGAAUUAGAAAACACAAAUUUUGUCAUUAAAAAUCUAAAAUAUUUUUCUCUAAAAAAAAAAAAUCUAACAUAUCAAUCAAAUCAAUCCCUUUUAUGUAAAUAUUGAAGGUCCUUUUUUUUUUUUUAUCAGGGACUAAUUUUACCAAAAUUUCAAUUUUGGAAACUAAAUUGAUAUUUUAAAUCUUAUACAAGACAUUUAAAUAAUGAUCAUUAGUGUUGUUACUAAUCCUUCUCCUUCCCCAACAUUAUAUAUAAGCAAUAAUUUUCUCAAUUUUUUUUUUAACAACAAAUUUGACCAGAUCACUGCUCAAGACGAAUAGAGACGGGUGAAACUGAGAAUACAGACAAAAAGCGUCAUACAAAGGAGAUAGUAAACAAACCGAAAGCAUGAUGUUAGCAGCUACAAAAUAAUCUGAUUCAACAAUCAAUGUAGCACUAUCAACUGUGCCAUAUUUUGCUGCAGUGCCACCAAAGGUUAUAUUUGGCAUAGUUCCUGGUGCUGCAUACAAUGUAACAAAAGGUUUUGUCCUCUCAAUUUUAAUUUUCUCAUUAUAAUUUCCACCACCAAUUUUCACAAUCACACGUUUGUUGUUUCCAGUUGGUAUACUAUUAAUGGCAUCAGUGAUGGUUUUGAAAUCACCCUUGCCAUCUUGCAUUACUGUAAUAACCUUAGGAGCAGCCUCUGCAGCUACCAAGGAAGGAUCAAGGGUUGCUUUUCUUUGUGCUAAUGGUCCCACAUUGGUAUU